CCCCCUUGUAAUAGGCAAAGAGUCAACUGUUGGUGGUGUUGUUCUUAUAUCAGUCAGGGGCAGAGCAGAUGGCUGUCCUCUGUUCAUUCUAGCGUGAUGCCUGGCUUGCUGGCCAAAGCUGUUUGAUUCCUAGAAAACGUAA